rnacentral:rRNA from 1 species
GAUGAACGCUGGCGGCGUGCUUAAUACAUGCAAGUCGAACGAAGAGCCUUUGUAGCAAUACGGAGGUUUCUUAGUGGCGAACGGGUGCGUAACGCGUUGGUGACCUGCCCCGAAGUGUGGGAUAACAGUUCGAAAGGACUGCUAAUACCGCAUGUGAUCAUCGGAUUUAGAAACUGAUGAUUAAAGCAGUAAUGCGCUUCGGGAGGGACCUGCGUCCCAUCAGCUAGUUGGUGAGGUAACGGCCCACCAAGGCUACGACGGGUAGGGGACCUGAGAGGGUGGUCCCCCACACUGGCACUGAAACACGGGCCAGACACCUACGGGUGGCAGCAGUAGGGAAUAUUGGGCAAUGGGCGAAAGCCUGACCCAGCAACGCCGCGUGCACGAUGAAGGUCUUCGGAUCGUAAAGUGCUUUUCUGAGAGAUGAGAAAGGACAGUAUCUCAGGAAUAAGUCUCGGCUAACUACGUGCCAGCAGCCGCCGUAAGAC